CNCCUUUGACGUUAGCGGCGGACGGGUGAGUAACACGUGGGUAACCUACCUAUAAGACUGGGAUAACCUCGGGAAACCGGAGCUAAUACCGGAUAAUAUUUCGAACCGCAUGGUUCGAUAGUGAAAGGUGGUUUUGCUAUCACUUAUAGAUGGACCCGCGCCGUAUUAGCUAGUUGGUAAGGUAACGGCUUACCAAGGCGACGAUACGUAGCCGACCUGAGAGGGUGAUCGGCCACACUGGAACUGAGACACGGUCCAGACUCCGUACGGGAGGCAGCAGUU
rnacentral:rRNA from 1 species